ACGGUGCGGAAAAGCACCGAAUAAAGCGUUAAUUUUUACGAACUUGCCUCUAAAAAUAAAAGAACUCCUCAAAAUGAUAUAGCUACAUAUAUGCUGUGUAAAUUGCAGUCCAAUGGGGCGGAUGUUUUUCUAUAGAUUACAGACAGCACGAUUUUCACACGCACUUGAGUGUUCGCCGAAUGACAACAAUUAGCCAUGUGAAAUUCCCGAAUACAUUAGCCCAUUGAAGUUUGGAAAUGUGCCGAGGCAUUUACAGAGGAGGCACAAAAACGCGUCGAGUCAGCCAGCAGUUGGCAAACCGCAGAAACGCCACAUAGAUACAUCCAUAACUAUAACCCACACGCUGACUCGAUUCCCUGCUUGGAACUUGGCUAACACACACACGCACUGGCGCGCACACACACACAAUCGCACUACGACCGUAGCCUGAAGAUUCAGUUACAGUUUACGGACUCGAAACUCGAAUUCGGAUUCGGACUCGGACUCGGACUCGACUGCGGCAAACGCCAAGAAGACACUAAUAUGGAGUUCUACCCGCUCGGCUGUAUAAAUAAACAAAAUGAACGCGCUUCGCAGGCCGGCCAACAUUUGACGCCGCCGUCGCUGGCGACGCUGGCAGCGCAGUCGCGGCACGGCCCGCACGGCGUAUACUUAACCUUUUUUUUUAGUUGAUUUUUGCGUCACUCGGCCGGGUUCGAUACGAUGCAAGUCGAAGUUGCGUUAAUGGCCAAUUUAAGUUGCGCGGCGGUUUCUUUUUUUUUUUUUUUAUUUUAUUUUUGCUUUAGAAACAUUUAGUUUUGGUUUUAUCUUUACUGAUUUUUUGGUGCUUUCUGGUGCUAAGGUCAAGUUUGAAGCCAUUAAAAUGAAUGUCUGUGGCGAGAAAAGAAAGCAAAACUGCUAACAGCAGCAGAUAAGCCAUGCUUUUUCUUGGUUUAUUUUGAACAAGUUUAUUAACCCUUUCCCGGUUGGCCAAAAAAACAUGCAGAUCCUAUCGCAAAAAGAGCGGCAAAAAGAAAACGAAAGCAAAGAGGGAAGCGAAAAAGUACACAGUAAAAACGAAAUAUACUUCAAUAUUAGUAUACAUGUAUACAUAUACAUAUAUAUAUUAUGGUAUAUGUUUAGAAUUUAACGAACAUACAUAGAACAUACUAUGAGAGACUCUAGUUCAUCAUCAU
ensembl:ncRNA asRNA:CR44062 antisense RNA:CR44062